rnacentral:rRNA from 1 species
UACGUAGGGUGCGAGCGUUAAUCGGAAUUACUGGGCGUAAAGCGUGCGCAGGCGGUCUGUUAAGACCGAUGUGAAAUCCCCGGGCUUAACCUGGGAACUGCAUUGGUGACUGGCAGGCUUUGAGUGUGGCAGAGGGGGGUAGAAUUCCACGUGUAGCAGUGAAAUGCGUAGAGAUGUGGAGGAAUACCGAUGGCGAAGGCAGCCCCCUGGGCCAACACUGACGCUGAGGUGCGAAAGCGUGGGGAGCAAACAGG